rnacentral:lncRNA from 1 species
CGAGAUCGGUUCUUGGAAUUCUGACUUGACCAUUCUCUUAGUUAAGAUUUAUCAUGAAUUAUCAUGAAUCCUAAUGAGUUUUUAGGGAUUGAUUUAGAGAUGGUCCCUUGGGCCGGUUUGGCUGGUCUUGGCCGAGAUCUAUGGGAUGGAGGCCGGUUCUGGGAAAUCUGAUUGGACCAUUCUCUUAGUUAUGAUUUAUCAUGAAUUGUCAUGAAUGUUAAUUGAUUUUUGGAGCAGGGUUGCUUGCGGUCGAAAUUGCACCUGAGGGCAUAUUGGGGUCAGAUCCUUGUGUUAGGAUAUCUGAUCAUAUGUUGUGUGCUGGAACAUAUUGUCACUUAUGAUAUUGAUCAUAUGGAAUUGCUGGUUAUCAACCUUGGUGUUGGUAAGGCAGGCCGUGUGUGGUCUGAUCAUUGGCAAGGAUGGACAACCUGAUCCUUGGAUGAUGGAUCAAGGUGUCUGAUCUGAUUGAUCAAAGGAUGCACCGGUGGUAAGAGCAACACUAAUCAGGUUCAGUGGGACAUGGUUCCAUGACUGAUUAGGAAGUAUGAAGACUCAUCAGUUCUGAGUCAUGUGGGGUGGUUGGUUGAUUGACUCAGGAUCUGAUGGGCAUUGUUAGUCUUUGUGAGGACUUGAUCUGGUUAGUCCAUGAGAGGACUUGGUAUGAUUAGUCCAUGAGCUGGACUUGGUAUCAUAAGUUGAUAAGGCAAAAGGAUGUGGAACAGUGCAUGAACCGGUAAGGGCCAGAUGCAUGUCCUUAGCUGAUUGAAGACUUCCCAAAGGUUACUUAUGUCUGUGGGGAUGGUUGGCUGAAUGACUAAGUACCCAAGGGAAGAGUUUAUGCAGGUAUGAUCUGUCAAUGUUGCAUAGAUCUAGAUAGAAUGGCUUAGGGGAACAGAACCUCUGAUUGUAUGACUUGGUCUAGGUUCAGAUUCGACCUUGGAGCCAGCUGGCAGUUGUGUUUACUGACCAGUGGCUGAGGUGAUCUGAUCAGACAAGUGUUAGAUUGGAUUUAGUCCAAUGGAUGAUAGAUGUUAUUCCGCUGUGCAUAAGUUGAAAUGAUCUAAGCUAGGGAAUGACUAAGGUAGUCUUGAGCUAAGAUCUGAGUUAGCCCUCGCCUAUGGGCGAUGUGUUUUAAAUAAAGGGCAAAAUUUUUAGAGGUUCGGUCAGUGUCUAGACCGAGCGACGUGAGGCAUCGACCGCGGCCUGGUCGGCCGGGAUCGGGUCUUACAAGUUGGUAUCAGAGCAUGCUUGAUCCUGUUGAGGACAGUGCUCAAAUAUGUUAAGUUCCAAACCGAAAUUAUUUCUGAAAACUGAGAUGACUUGGAACCUUAGUUGUGGUGAGCCAAGUGAGAGUUGAGAUAAGUUUGGGUUUCAUGCUUGUGAACGGGGAAGUUCCAUGAUGAGCCGGCUUAGCCAAGAUACACUCUUCCACGGCAAGACCCUGAAAACAUAAAGGUUAGUUUAUCUAGUUAUUUGGGAAUAAUAGACGGAUUGGAUGAUGGACGCAAUGCAAUAUCCUUGUAGGGACGACCUGGACAAGGGAAGUAACAUGGACCAGAGAGUGGCUUAGGUUGAAAGAAACGUGCAGCACUCUCUUGGAGGUAAAUGUUAUCCCUUGGUGGCCGUUCAAAACAAGUGAGCAUAUGCAAUGUUCAUGUUAGUCUAAGGGAGACACUACAUGGCUAGUACAUGAGUGGGCUUGUGAUCAGAUGGAUCAGCUUGGACUCAGUGUAAGUCAAGGUAGGAUUCCUUAAGAUUGAGUGAAUGUAAUGGAUCAAUUCCAAGAGGAAUUAGAAAAACGAUGUUAAGUAUCUUAGUAUGAUGAGGAUUGAAGUAUACUAUCAACACUUUUGUGAAUGGUAUGGGACGUUCACAGAUGUGUGAUACUUUGGAGAAUGGUAUGGGACAUUUUCCAAAUGUGUGAUCAAACCAAGAUCCUACUCAUCUAAGUACUUAAUGAUCGGUGGUGUGGAAACACAUUAUUUGAUACUGGAGCUACACAUAGUGUUGUGAGUCCAGGAAUGGUUGGAAAAGGUUUGUUCCAGUAUGGAACAUGGGAUGGUUCUGAACGAGUGAGUGCGGCCGGAGGGCAAGUUAUGAACUCACUCGGUCUGGUUAAGGACAUCCCUGUGGUGAUCUUGGAUAGGCCGAUGCCUAUAGAUCUGAUUGUUGUCCCCCUCAAGCAUCAUGAAGUGAUCUUGGGCAUGGACUGGUUGGGAAAGUAUCGGGCAACUCUAGAUUGUCACCGGGGAAGGGUGCAACUUGAGAACGAGUUUGGACCCCGAUUAAGUACCAAGGAAUCAAGCCAACCUCUUGUAGUUUGGUGGUUUCAGCAGUCCAAGUAGAACGGAUGCUUGGAAAUGGUUGUGAGGCCUUUUUGGCUACCAUUUACACUGAUGAGGUUGUAGGGGCCUGUGACCCAGAGGGUAUACCGUUGGUUCGGGAAUUUCAGGAUGUGUUUGGGGCACUACAGGGCAUUCCCCCUGAUAGGGCUGACCCAUUCAUCAUUGAAUUGGAACCUGGAACGGCCCCAUUAUCUAAAAGUCCAUAUAGAAUGGCACCAGCUCAGAUGGCAGAGCUGAAGAAGCAACUUGAGGAGUUGCUUGAGAAGGGGUUCAUACACCCUAGUGUAUCACCUUGGGGAGCACCAGUCCUAUUUGAUAAGAAAAAAAGGAUGGUAGCUUUAGGUUGUGCAUUGAUUAUAGGGGUUUGAACAGGGUGACUGGGAAGAACAAGUACCCUUUACCCAGGAUUGAUGAAUUGCUGGAAUCAUAAACCUUAUUGUCCAGGAAGGACUUAAGGGAACAGAACAAUCUGUUAGGACUCAUGGUAGAGUGAGCAGCCUAAAGAUUGGAACAUGUUCACUAGGACUUGGCUGGUGCAUCGAGGGGCUUGGAGAUUGGUUGAAUCUACUAAGACUUGAGUACUCAGUAUGUUCCUAGGUACUGAAUUUGAUCUAGUCAUGGAACUAAAGUGUUCUACAUAGACUAGGUGUCUACUAGGAACGCAACCUGGAGAGUUGGGUCAGUGACACAAGUCAUGUCUUUUUAUGGGUGCUUGAUGGACCACUUGAUAAGAUUUUGGGUUAAAAAUCUAUCAAGUGGGGAAGACUUGUUGUGUAUAUGAUGACCAAGACAUGGUCAGUGAGAAAGAACAAGGUGGGAGAUGCAACGAACUGGUUAGAAAGAACCAAUCGAGCAUGCUCCAUGUUCUGGGUACAAAAAAGUCGGAUGGAACCUUGGUCAUGAGACAAGAGGUUAACACACUGGAUUCGAGGACGAAUCCUUCGUAAGUGGGGGAGACUUGUCAUGUCCCCGAUCCUGGAUAGGAUCGUCCGGACGGACUGCGGUGCAAGGAAACGCACCAGUCAGGUCACAUGACCUAAGGACAAGCGUGUCAUGGUCCUGAAUGAAGGUUAAGGGCAUCAGUCAGCUGAGACUUAACCAGGAUAUGAUGGAAACAAGGGUAAAGGAGCUGGGUGAGUGUUUAGGCAGCUGGACGAGUGUUGGUUUGAGUUCAAUCAGCUCGGUUCAGCUGGUAUUCAGUUCACCAUGAUCUGUCCAGCUCACAGGAGCUGGUGGACUAGCUCACUCAGCUGGGAACAGCUGGAGGUCAGCUCCAUUCGGUGAACGGUGCGUUUUGGUUCGGAUCAGUGCGGGCGAGUCCGGGACGGUUACUGGGCGAGCCGAUGGUCCGGGUGCAGGACGGUUCGACCAAGUGGGUCUUAGGCUUGGGGCAGGGAGUGGGCAAGCUUCCAGAGUGUGAGCUGAGGCUCAGUGAUCGAUUUGCCAAAGGAAGAAAAGGGGAGAAACCGCCAAUGGGCGGUUAUGGGGCGGUUAUGGGACGGUUUUGGGAAGAAGGGAUGUGAUUGGUUGGUAACUGUUCGCCCAAGCGGUUGGGGACAGUUUAAAUCGUCUUCUCCCUCUCAUUUCUGCCAUUCUGGUCGAUUUUUACUCAACUUGACACAGAGAGAAACACAGAGAAAAUUCAAGAGAGAAAGAGAGACACAAACCUUGGAUUGGCCGAUUUGAUCCAAGAGAUUGCUCUUGAGUGUUCCUGGUGUGUUUGGGCGUGUGAUCAAGAGAAUGGAUUUGAGACAGAAAGACAAGGAGAAAGACAAAGAAUCCAGAGAAAAAUACAGAGAGUUGGUCGGAUUCCCAAUCCAAGACCCAUGGUGGUGUGAAGGCCAUAAAGAGACAGUUUUGGGGCAGAUCAAGGGGGAAGUUGAGAACGACCCUCUGAACGGUUUUGAUCAUUGUUGACAACACCCAAAGACUUAUCUGGAGCCUGUGAACACACGCAAAUGGUGAGGAAAGGAGGGAGUUGGCCGGAAUCCAUUCCCAAGGGCCAAUGCAGCCUUAAAGGGAGAUUGGUGUGGAAAGCAGUUUCAUGGGGAACAAAGAGGGAAGUGAUGCACGACCCUUGGAUGGUGAUUGAUCAUGGAUGAUCAUGUCUAAGGCUUCCUAUGUGUCUUGGGAACACACGCAAUUGGUUAGGAGAGGAGGGGGAAGGCUUGACUUCACUCACAAUGGCAUGAAUAGCCUUGAAGGUGGAUGCAGUGUAGAAACUGGUUUCAUGGAAGUUCCAUGGAAGGAAUGAUGGUCACGAACCAUGGUUAGAUCUUAUCAAUACUGGGAGUAUGUGAUAAGGGUUUGAUGAAGGCGUGCUAGGAGGAGCAUGGACGCCCCUGAUGAGGUAACAGGUGGGGACUGCAGACCAUUGGACAUAGUCUGGUACACUAUGGGUUGAUCUGGUCCAGCAGUUACACCUUACUAUGUUUUAUGAUUAUUAAUCAUAUUAUUCAUUGUUCUUAUGAUUGAGAUUGAUGAUUAGACAUAGUAGCACUGAACCAUGACUUGGCCGGUUCAGAAGAACCCUCCAUGGCCUUGGUUUGGCAGCUAAGUCUGGAUCUCCUACUUCCUGAUGGAUUUAUGGCGAUCUGACUUUGGAAUCCUCUUAGUGGUGAAUUAUCAUGAAUUAUCAUGGUAUUAGGGGAUUUUUAUCUGAUUGAUUUCGAGAUGGUCAAUGUGGCCGGUGGGGCUGUUCUAGGUCGAGAUCCAUAGGAUCGAGAUCGGUUCUUGGAAUUCUGACUUGACCAUUCUCUUAGUUAAGAUUUAUCAUGAAUUAUCAUGAAUCCUAAUGAGUUUUUAGGGAUUGAUUUAGAGAUGGUCCCUUGGGCCGGUUUGGCUGGUCUUGGCCGAGAUCUAUGGGAUGGAGGCCGGUUCUGGGAAAUCUGAUUGGACCAUUCUCUUAGUUAUGAUUUAUCAUGAAUUGUCAUGAAUGUUAAUUGAUUUUUG